rnacentral:rRNA from 1 species
CACGUAGGGCGCAAGCGUUGUCCGGAAUUAUUGGGCGUAAAGAGCUCGUAGGCGGUCUGUUGCGUCCGCUGUGGAAACCCGGGGCUUAACCCCUGGCUUGCAGUGGAUACGGACAGACUAGAGGUAGGUAGGGGAGAAUGGAAUUCCCGGUGUAGCGGUGAAAUGCGCAGAUAUCGGGAGGAACACCGGUGGCGAAGGCGGUUCUCUGGGCCUUACCUGACGCUGAGGAGCGAAAGCGUGGGGAGCGAACAGG